AGCAGGGCCAGAUGUGGAUCUUUAAGAUAUCCUUGGGCCCUAAGAUAAUGAACAUUGGGACACCCUCCUUGUAAGUUCUGUGCUGAGCUAAUAACAGCUACUGUUAUCAUAUUGUUACUGUUAUCGUAUUGUUACUGUUAUCGUAUUGUUACUGUUAUUGUAUUGUUACUGUUAUUGUCACUUUGGCUCCAGUCCCAGAGACUUUCUAUUUUUCACUUGACAGAAUAAACUAAAAAGCAAGACUGAAGUCUCACACACUCAAAGGCGAUGCUCAUUAGGCUUGCACAAGUUGAACACACCUGUCAUCUGGCUCCAGGUCAAGAAUUAGGAAAUGGGGCCAACCGUGUGCAUGUCCCAGUAAUUACAGAGCUUCCAACCUUCCAAGAGUUAACCUGCAGCAGCGAUGUUCUGAGGAUCCAGGCAGAGGAUACACAAGCGUCCCAGCAGGCACUCUGGUUUGCUGCGAACAUAUGCGGUUUUGAAUGAGCAGCUGCAGCACCGGGUUUGGGUAUGUGGCUUUGCUUCGAUUGAUGCUGUAUUGUUUUCUCUCCGGAGAACAAAGCAAUGCUUGUCCAUGUUUGUAAACAGGGUCCCUUCGAGAAAGAGCAGUUGUCUGUUAGCCUGCAUUCGAUCGCGAAAAUAGGAGCCCAGGGUGCAGGGGUGAGCGUUUGCAGAGUCUCCAUCCUCAUUUAAGAUGCUCCUGGGAUGCGGUGGAUUGUCUUUAAACUGAUCUGAAUUCUAGUGCUGCAUGGCCAGGUCAUUUGAAUGUCAUGAUUGCAGUGGGACUCAAAAGGUUUUUUUUUUUG
rnacentral:lncRNA from 1 species